rnacentral:rRNA from 1 species
UACGAAGGGGGCUAGCGUUGCUCGGAAUGACUGGGCGUAAAGGGCGCGUAGGCGGCUCAUACAGUCAGAUGUGAAAUUCCUGGGCUUAACCUGGGGGCUGCAUUUGAUACGUGUGGGCUUGAGUGGGGAAGAGGGUCGUGGAAUUCCCAGUGUAGAGGUGAAAUUCGUAGAUAUUGGGAAGAACACCAGUGGCGAAGGCGGCGAUCUGGGCAGAUACUGACGCUGAGGUGCGAAAGCGUGGGGAGCAAACAGG